ACUUGUUUGGUUCAUAGAAUGGAAAGGCGCAGGAAUGGAAUAGCUAUUCUUCACUUAUAUUUUGAAUUUAUAUCAUACUCAUUUAAAAAAUAUUUAUUAUGUAUAAUAAUAUUGCACAUUUUAAAAUUUAAUAUAAAAUUGUUAUUCCAUGAUAUGGUUUUCCACAUUUAAAUUUUUAACCAAAUCUAGGAAUAGCUAUUCAAGAUGGGAUAGCUAUUCUAUUUCCAUCCUAUUCCAUGUUAUUCUGUAAGCCAAACAAAGCCUAGACUCCAUAGCCACAAAAUAGUUAUUUCAAUAAAAAAUAAAUGAGAUUCUAUAAUAGCUAUUCUAUGAAAUAAUAUUUCUCCAUUAAAUUAUAAACCAAAGAGAGGAAUUGAUAUUCUGUUCCCAUUCUAUUUUAUCCUCUAAACUAAAUGAAGCUUUAGUAUCAACAGAGAGCAGCUAAGGACAUGCCACACCUAAAAGUCUAAUUAUUGGUGGAACCUAAAGCUGAUGCAUGUUCAUCACUAUCCAAAUGAAAUAAAAAAUCUGAAGUCUAAACUUCUCUAGGAGUAUUAAGAUGGAUCCGUAAGAUGAAGUAUCUUUAACUAAAUGUCUUACCAAAUAGAGAGGCCCUUUACAAUAUGCAUCCAUAAUGACCUUGAGAUAUGGAUAGCUUGAGGUAAAUUUGUUGGCAGCUUCAAGAGCUGUAGAAACAUUUGAACUUGAAGGCCUUCCAGCUUGCUUACCAACACUAUUUUCACUCCUCGAUUCGUUGGACUUUCCUGUAUUAUAUCCAUUUAAAAGCAAACUAAUCUCAUAUUUAUGAACUAAUCAUGUAGGGAACAAAGUUCUCAAGCAUCAAAUAGAUUCUAGAGUAGCAUAAGGACAUUCUGUUUUAAUUGUUAAGCAAUCCUGCUUGCAUUUAAUUUUAUCAUCUAAUUAAGAAUAAGCACAUCUAUUAAAACAGGAUUAAAAAAAACAAAACAAAAGAUUUCUUUUGGUCAAUAAGCUAAAUAAGGAAAAAAUAAAAAAAUAAAAAACCUCUGAAUUCUUGAAUGGAGCAAUCUGAAUCCUCAAUCUGUAUGGAUGUGGAUUGGUUGCUUGUGGACCCAUUAUUUAGUGCUUUACUCUUUAAAUCCACUUCAUUUUCUUGCUUCUUGGUAUCUCUCCCUGAAUGGAUAUCCCUGCCAGGACACUCAAUCUCUACAGCACAAUCUGAAUCCUCAAUCUGUAUAGGCGUGGAUUGGUUGCCUUUCGACCCAUAGUUUUGUGCUUUACUCUUUAAAUCCCCCACGUUUUCUUGCUUCUUGGUCUCUUUCCCUGAAUGGAUAUCCCUGCCUGGAUACUCAAUCUCUACAGCACUCAUGUCAAAUAUAAGCACACUGAAAUUGCAUUCUCCUUCAUAUUUAAACAGUAACAAAUGCCCAUGCUUCAGGGAGUGAUACUCUGAAAAUGCUUGCCAACCCUUUUCAAGCCAAACAUCAUCCCCAUUCUUUAACAACUCUACUUGCCACGUGUUGCCAGUAGGAAUCUUAAGGAUAAUUGGACUUGAUAAACAAUUCCCAUAUUUCUUCACAAACUUUAUCGGAAUCCGAAGUCUUCCCGCAAGAGCAGUACUUUGAAGAAUUAUCUUGAAAAACUGGGGUAUUUUUGCUGUGAGAUUAAAAUUAUCAUCCCUUCCUUUCAGUUGCAGACCUUGAGAACUCAUUGUUGAAUAGAUUCAAUACUGCUACCAUACUAAACAAGCAUGUAGCAAGAAAAUUAAACUUGGCUCUUGGCACUGGAUUCUGGAGGCAGCCGCCGCAUGCAUAUACAUCUUCCUACUCCGUGCAUAUCACCUAGACUUGACGAAGACCACUCCGAUCCAGUCCUAUUGGAGAGCAAAUGAUAACGGAAUACUCUUAUUCAUACCAUUUAAGAUUGGGUCAAUCUCAAAGAAUAGGUCGGUGAGCCAAAAACUCAAAAUCCUCCUCCUCUUUUCUUGAAUAAAGAGAAA
rnacentral:misc_RNA from 1 species